CAGCCGCCACGGUAAUACGAAGGGGGCUAGCGUUGCUCGGAAUGACUGGGCGUAAAGGGCGCGUAGGCGGCGAUCAAAGUCAGGCGUGAAAUUCCUGGGCUCAACCUGGGGGCUGCGUUUGAUACUUGAUUGCUAGAGUGGGGAAGAGGGUCGUGGAAUUCCCAGUGUAGAGGUGAAAUUCGUAGAUAUUGGGAAGAACACCGGUGGCGAAGGCGGCGACCUGGUCCUUGACUGACGCUGAGGCGCGAAAGCGUGGGGAGCAAACAGGAUUAGAUACCCGCGUAGUCCCUGUCUCUUAUAC
rnacentral:rRNA from 1 species